rnacentral:rRNA from 1 species
CCUACGGGAGGCAGCAGUGGGGAAUGUUGCGCAAUGUGCGGAAGAGUGACGCAGCGACGCCGCGUGAAUGACGAAGGCCUUCGGGUGGUAAAGUUCUUUCGACAGGGAAGAAAAUGCCUAUAAGUAACUGUGUCUGUAUGGACGGUACCUGUAGAAGCAGCCCCGGCUAACUCCGUGCCAGCAGCCGCGGUAAUACGGAGGGGGCGAGCGUUGUUCGGAGUGACUGGGCGUAAAGAGCACGUAGGCGGUGUUGUAAGUCAUUCGUCAAAGACUAGAGCUCAACUUUAGUAAGGCUCGUGUAACUAUGAUACUAGAGUAUCAGAGAGGAUUGCCGAAUUCCUGGUGUAGCGGUGACAUGCGUAGAUAUCAGGAGGAAUACCGUUGGCGAAGGCGGCACUCUGGCUGGAAACUGACGCUGAGGUGCGAAAGCGUGGGUAGCAAACAGGAUUAGAUACCCUGGUAGUC